rnacentral:rRNA from 1 species
GAUGAACGCUGGCGGCGUGCUUAACACAUGCAAGUCGAGCGAAGCAGUUAAGUUGAUUUCUUCGGAUUGAUUCUUAACUGACUGAGCGGCGGACGGGUGAGUAACGCGUGGGUGACCUGCCCCAUACCGGGGGAUAACAGCUGGAAACGGCUGCUAAUACCGCAUAAGCGCACAGAGCUGCAUGGCUCGGUGUGAAAAACUCCGGUGGUAUGGGAUGGGCCCGCGUCUGAUUAGGCAGUUGGCGGGGUAACGGCCCACCAAACCGACGAUCAGUAGCCGGCCUGAGAGGGCGACCGGCCACAUUGGGACUGAGACACGGCCCAAACUCCUACGGGAGGCAGCAGUGGGGAAUAUUGCACAAUGGGGGAAACCCUGAUGCAGCGACGCCGCGUGAGCGAAGAAGUAUUUCGGUAUGUAAAGCUCUAUCAGCAGGGAAGAUAAUGACGGUACCUGACUAAGAAGCCCCGGCU